rnacentral:rRNA from 1 species
GGAGAAAGCAGGGGAUCGCAAGACCUCACGUUAUAGGAGCGGCCGAUGUCCGAUUAGCUAGUUGGUGGGGUAAAGGCCUACCAAGGCGACGAUCGGUAGCUGGUCUGAGAGGAUGAUCAGCCACACUGGGACUGAGACACGGCCCAGACUCCUACGGGAGGCAGCAGUGGGGAAUUUUGGACAAUGGGCGAAAGCCUGAUCCAGCCAUGCCGCGUGCGGGAAGAAGGCCUUCGGGUUGUAAACCGCUUUAGUCCGGGAAAAAGGGGUACGAGGAUAAUACCCUCGUGCUUUGAUGGUACUGGAAGAAUAAGCACCGGCUAACUACGUGCCAGCAGCCGCGGUAAUACGUAGGGUGCGAGCGUUAAUCGGAAUUACUGGGCGUAAAGCGUGCGCAGGCGGCUUCCUAAGUCAGAUGUGAAAUCCCCGGGCUUAACCUGGGAACUGCGUUUGAAACUACAAAGCUAG